rnacentral:rRNA from 1 species
GACGAACGCUGGAGGCGUGCCUAAUACAUGCAAGUCGAGCGAAUGCUUUAGAAGAGGAGCACUUUCGGGUGUGAAACGGAUAAAGGAUUAGCGGCGAACGGGUGAGUAACACGUGGGGAACCUGGCCGGAAGACGGGGAUAGCCGACGGAAACGUCGGGUAAUAGCCGAUACACAUCUCAGUCGCAUGAAAGAGAUGGGAAGGGCAGGGCAACCUGCCGCUUUGGGAUGGACCUGCGGCGCAUUAGCUAGUUGGGACGGUAACGGCGGCCCAAGGCGACGAUGCGUAGCCGACCUGAGAGGGUGAACGGCCACACUGGGACUGAGAUACGGCCCAGACUCCUACGGAGGCAGCAGUAGGGAAUAUUCCGCAAUGGACGGAAGUCUGACGGAGCAACGCCUUGUGAGUGAAGAAGGCCCUCGGGUUGUAAAGCUCUGUUACCAGGGAGGAAGAGCAAGGAGAGGAAAUGCUCCUUGUGUGACAGUACCUGAGAAGAAAGCCCCGGCUAACUACG